rnacentral:rRNA from 1 species
GACGAACGCUGGCGGCGCGCCUAACACAUGCAAGUCGAGCGAUGAAAUUUUAACCGCUCUCUUCGGAGAGAAGAUAAAAUGGAUUAGCGGCGGACGGGUGAGUAACACGUGAGAAACCUGCCUUUCACAAGGGGAUAGCCUCGGGAAACCGGGAUUAAUACCCUAUGACACAUUUCCUUCGCAUGGAAGAAAUGUUAAAACUCCGGUGGUGAAAGAUGGUCUCGCGCCUGAUUAGCUAGUUGGUGGGGUAACGGCCCACCAAGGCCAUGAUCAGUAACCGGCCUGAGAGGGUGAACGGUCACAUUGGAACUGAGACACGGUCCAAACUCCUACGGGAGGCAGCAGUGGGGAAUAUUGCACAAUGGAGGAAACUCUGAUGCAGCGACGCCGCGUGAGCGAUGAAGGCUUUCGAGUCGUAAAGCUCUGUCCUAUGGGAAGAUAAUGACGGUACCAUAGGAGGAAGCCCCGGCUAACUACGUG